rnacentral:rRNA from 2 species
UUUUGGGCUUAGUUGGCUGUGGAGCACAUGAAAACUCCACAGUUAAGCGUGCUCAGGUGGGAGUAGUACUAGGAUGGGUGACCUCCUGGGAAGUCUCCACUGAGGCACCAAAA